rnacentral:rRNA from 1 species
CCCUCGGUGGGGAAGUAACUAGUCGAAAGAUUAGCUAAUACCGCAUAAUGCAGCGGCUCGACAUCGAGACAGUUGUUAAUGCAGAAAUGCGCCUGAGGAGGAGCCUGCGUCUGAUUAGCUAGUUGGUGAGGUAAUGGCUCACCAAGGCUGCGAUCAGUAGCUGGUCUGAGAGGACGGCCAGCCACAAUGGCACUGAAACACGGGCCAU